CCUAAGGAUACAUUUUGUAGGUAUGAAUUCCCUCAUCCCUUCAACAACUUGCUGUAUCUUCUACUAACAGCUGCUCAGGUACUUCUUCCAAACAUAAGUUGAAGGGCAUUCUGUCCUGGUUGGGUAUGCCAGUCCAGCAUGCAGCUUUACACAGUGUUGUCUGAGAUUGUCAAACUGUCAUUUCUGAGAACAGGAUCUGUGCUAGCGCAGUGCAGGAGUGCGCUCUCAGUUGGUGCCCUGCUCCCAGUAUCAGCAGGGAGUUUGUUAUUCGUUUUUGCUCUGUGUAAAUAUUGUGGUGACAUAAAAAAAAUACACUCUUUUUCUAAGAGUGGCUAGUCCACUUCUACAGCACAUAAUGGUAGGAAAGGAUUGUCAUAAUUACUUAUGCAAUGUCUUUGACAAGCUUUGAAUUAUGACAUUUAGAAGUCCAGUGUCUUCACUCACAUUAAUUUGAUUUUCAAAUGGCACUGACAAUGUUCUGUAUCAAAGACAGAAAUAGUUUGCAAAGGCAAAUCCAGCUGCAAGGAGUUAAGACAAAGUGUUAGAAAGAAAAUUGAUGAAAGAGGAAGGAAGCAAUAGACCAUACAUGAAAGAGAUUAUAAAGAGAAUAAUCCAAAGUGUGUGUUGACAUCCUUAAUUCAGUCCUGUAUUUUAUCACUGGUAUGUCUGAAGGGUUUAAAAGCUAGAUUUGCAGACAGUAAUGACAUGGGGAGCGCAGGAAAUUAUAAUGUGUUACAUCUAGAUUCAGUUCAUGCAGAGACGGGGACAAAAUAUUUCAAAAGAAACAAAAUCAAACCACAUUAAGAAUGGCAAAUACUGCACAUGACAGUAUUUUAUAGCAUUAAAAUUUUCAGUUAACUAGCGUAUUUGGCAAUCUCAUUGGGUUUUAUUCCUGAACUCUCACUGCCAGAGCAGCAGGAUUGCCCUUCUAAUCUGCCCCCCAGUCAUACUGUUGUUGGUAUAAAAAGUCCAAAUCAGGCUGCAUCAGUGCGUCUGUGGUUUGCUCUGUGCCUUGCUCAUCCAGUUGAUUUUGUCAGUAUAGACUGGGUUAUGCAUACAUACCUGGAAAUAAUUCAGUCUGCCCUGAACAUGCACUUAGUCUUCAGGUUUUAUUUAGUAGUGUGACAGAAUAAGGUUACAGAUAUGUUUUCUCUGCUUCAAUUGACUCUUCUUUUGUACAGGAAUAGAAAAGAAGCCAUGGUGUUCACUGCUAGCAAAGGCUAGCACUGUUGUGGUUGUUAAGAUGAUGUGUCAACUCUGUAGCGGCUAUUCAGGGAGAAGCUGUAAUGAAUGACUACUUCCUUGUGAUCUGUAGGUAAUGAAGGUUUAGAAUCUGUGUUUUUGCUUCACCAGAAAAGGAAGUUGUGCCCCACUUUUUAAAACGUUUGGGUGGCCCGUGAGAUCUUCAAGAGCAUCUUUCAGAAAUUCUUCUGGAGUUUCUGAAAAUCAUGUUGACAGCCUUCCAGCAACUUCAGGUGCCUAAUUCCUCCAAAAAAUCCAGGCUUUUACCCCUAGCCUUUUCACCCAGCUGUGUUCCAUCUGAAGGCAGGAGGCUUCAGUUCCCUCAUGCCUCCUAUAAACCUUUUACAUUCCUACCUGGCAGCUGCUCCAAGAGCGAAUUCUGUAUCACUCCAUUACUUACAGAAGGAUCAGCAGUGUUGACCUUGCUUUACACUGAGGUGAGUUUGACACUAAAAUGCUCUCGAGAUAGCACAUUUUCUUUUCAGACAGUGCUACAGAUAUAAAAAACAAUUGCCAUUUUAAAAGUGCCUGUAGUGGUGUAGUAGAAAGACUUCCUCUUGCUAUGAACAGGUCUGCUCUUCCUUAGAGGGCAGCAGGCUAUUAUGCAAGUAGAGCUUUUCAGUGUUAGCACUUUUGCCUACUCUUGCACUCUUCAGGAUUGCUGCAAUGACUGUAUUUGCAUUUGCUUCAUUAACCAUCUGGGCUAUCACCUCACAGCACUCAGACAUUAAAACUACUGAGGUAAUACUCGGGAAUGUGAAGACCACAGGCAUGUGGCCAAGUUACCUUCAGUUCAUCUUGGAGGUGAGUGGUUUCAUUUCUAUUGCCAUUUUGUUAAACAACAGAGAAUUGUUUCUUUGGAUUGAUUCAUUUUUGAAAGGAUCAUGCAAAUGGAAAUCUCAAGCUAUCAAUACUGUAAUUACAUAUUCUAGUUCAGUAAUCUCUUCUGCUUUGCCAUGCUACAUUAUUUAAUUUCCUCUUGUUCCAUGUGAACAUCUGUAACAAGAUUGCAAUGAAAAACGGUGUGCCGUGUGGCUAAGAAAAUGAAUACCAAGUGACCUGAGUGCUCUGAAAUCAAUCGUAUGACAAAAGAGAUGGGCUUAAGUGGGGAGAAAAUGUGUUCAUUCUCAUGAGAACACAAGAUCUGAACCAAAUUUCAUGUGAAUUUUGUGGAACUCUAAGAGAAUUUAACUAAAGUUCCAAAGGUGAUGGUUGCUCCUUAUUGCCGAAAUGUACUCUCUAAUCGUAAAAAUCUCUAUAUUCUGGAAACCAAAGAUACGAUUAUUUUCAGUGUUGAAUUCAAGCUUCUGUUGCUCUCUCAGUGCUUCAUCAGUAAACUGAAUACUGUUAUCAAAGAUCUAUAAUUGAAUAUACAUUUUACAUCCUGUAAAUAAUACAGGCUUCAGAAGUAUAUUUGAUGGCAUUAAAGUCAAACGAUGGCUUACCCUAAAAAAUGCUCAAAUCCUUAAAUCCUGUGCAGCUUAGCUCAGGAAAAGAUCCCUGGAAACAUUGCUUCUGAAUACAGUUCUAGUGGUAAGACAGUUGCAUAGAGUAAAUUUUGCUAAUUUCUACAUUCUCUGAAAGCCAGAACACAUCAGUCUUUAUAUCUGGUGAUCAGCACCACGUAUUUCAUCUGGAAGUGAAAUCAUCACCAGUGCAGAUGUUUAUGUACCUGGCCUUUGUGGUCCGAAAAGGUGGGCAGCAUAAUUCAGGUAGACCAUUCAAGCAGCCUCACAAGAUAGUUCUGGAAGAACAGCCACAGACACAUGUGUUAAUGGGAGAAUAUUCUAUUUCUGUGCUGGAAAUGCUUUCUUUAUCAAUUUAACUUUAAAUAUGUAGGCAUUUGUCCUGAACAUCUUUGUUUAGCCUUUUGUGGUGGAAAGAACUACCUUCUUAUGUGGAACUUGGCUGCAAAGAUCGAUGACCAGGUUUUGACUAUUACUACAAAGGAAAAAACACAAGUGGAGUCUGAGUCAUUGUGGCUGUGCAAGACUCUUCGCACAGAGAAGGGAUUGGACUCUUGUCUGGAUUUUCUGAUGCUCGUUGUUCAGGUACUAACUGCAAACUUAUUCUGAAAGUAAGUUUGUGAGGGUGUACCUGCCUGUGGAUUUCUUUCACAUUUAUGUGAAACCUAAUUAAACAAGAUGUUUGGUUCGAUAAUCAAUUCCACAAAGCAGGCAAGUGGGUUUUUUUUUUGUAUUUUUACUAGGCUCUGUUAACUUAUAACCUUUUGAAAGGGAGUAUGUGAAGAAACAGAUCAUUACAUCAGCCCUCACCAAAGGAAAGAGUACAGGAUUCUUGAGGGAGAAGUACUGCUUGGCCUUCCUGGCAAUAGGUAAGAGUUUGUCUCUGGCACUGACUGCGUCUUCCACAAAGUUUUCCGUAUAGAACAUAUCAUAUGUUCAUGCUCUGUGCAACCAACUGUGAAAUACUUUUAAAUAGAAUGAUUGUUCAGUCCCAAUUUCAAAAUAUUAAUUUUAAAAAUUUUCCUUUUUUUUUUUAGUUUCUUGAGUCACAACAGUCAUUAGCAUAGGGGGCAUUCUCGUAAAUCCAUCAGAUACUCAUGGAAGUGUCUCCAAAUAAAGUUAAAAUCUGUAAGUAAGCAAUUCUUUACAGCAUAUUGUAUAUCUGAGUGGGAACUUUUAAUUCUGGUGAAGGUCAGCUGUACUUCCUAGUUUCAAAGCCACUGUGUGACCUGAACUGUGAGCUCAGCCUCCCCUUCCCAGAAAUGGAGGAAGACAAAGGAAGACAUUUUGGGGGGAUAAAACCCUGUAACAGCAAUAAAGACCUCACUGGAGCAGAAAGAUGCAACCCCUUCUUCCCUGUGCCUGUUGGAGUUGGUUUUCCCUGGUGUUUGUGAGGUCUGUGAGAAAUGUUUGGAUAAGAUCUUUUGGUGCUGCUCCCAGAACACGGUUCAUGUGAUAUCAGAAAAUCCUGAUGCUUUGCCAGGGACUUUUUUGUCAUUGGGAAUUUAGAGACUGGGUUUGUAAAGGGCUGGCUGAGCCAGGAUACAAAUUAAAACUCCUGAGCAACCUAUUCUGCCAGCCUGUCUUCUAUGAAAGGCCACCAGGGACCUGUACCAGGAGACACCUCCCAAAAGGAGAAUGAGCAAUGGAGCAAAGGUGACUAAGUUUGGUAGCACUGCAGAGCUGGAGAUGAAACAUCAGUGUCCAAGCCAUGGAUGUGCACUGAAAUAUGAGUUAUUGGAAUAAAUAAAUGUGGUCAUUGUAACCUUCCUUCCAGCCAGAGUAUCUUUGUCUUGAAGCAUCUGUCUUUCCAUCUGUAACCUGUAAGUUUUGUUCACUGGCAAGGCAGUCCUGGGUGAAUGGAAGAUAAGCAUCUGGCAGUUUUCCUCACUAGUUUCCAUUCACCUCUUAAAGUCUGGAAUGGCAGACUUCUGAGUAAAUGCAAGGAAUUUAUUUUGAAUCUGCUAUAGCUGUUCACAGUAGUUAUUUAAGGUGCAGUCUGUCACCACCUGCUUGCAAUAUACAAAAGAUGAGAAGGAAGCAGAUUUUCCAGAAACCUUAGAACUGCAGUUCCAUUAGGCGACAGGUAAAUUGUUCCUCCUUCCUGAUGAGGAUUUUCGCUUCAAUGAAAGUGAUCAAAAAGUUGUACCAGGUGACAAAUGUCAAUGUUUAGUACUUUUUCAGAACUUUGGACCCCAUGGGAAAGGUGCAAGGAAAUUAAGAUGGGAAAGGAGACUGGAGAAGAAGGUAAAACAAGAAAUAGACAAAAAGGGAACUUAUUAGUGAAAAACAUAAUGCCAUUGAUCGGUACCUGCUUAGUGGAGAUGAAAAGUUUCCAUUAUGAUCUCAUAUCAGGAAGCUCUUGAACAGGUUAAGUGUUCUGGGGUCAUAAUCAUAAUUAAAUCCACCUUUUGAUUGCUUAAUUUACACUAAUGAAUAAUUUUCAAAUUGGAAAUACUAGUUUUUCUCCCUAAAGAUCAAAUUUGAAAUUGUAAUAAGAAUUUUACAUUUUCAUUGAGCUGUAACCAGAUUGGUUUUUUUCACAACUUUGCAGAGUUUAUUAAUAAUCUUUGCUGUUUACUGUCAUCUGCAUAUAUAAAGUAUCACUGGUGGGCUGUGUUUGGCUUUACUAUGAACAGUUUCCCAUCUGACUUACUGUAGAUAGUCUCAGCCCUGUGUUCAUUUGACAUGAUUUGCCUUGAUUUUCUCAGUCAUCACUCCACUGGGUCAACAGACAGAUCAGCUGGAGAAGUUAUCACAAGUGCAUACGUGUACAUAUACAAUAAUUUACAUGUCCAUAUGAAAGGACUUAUGGCUAGAGGUCCAUUUGGUUUUAAUGUUCAUUGACCAGCACCAAUGCCACUUAAUUACUUAAAAUAAAUACGCUAAGAUUGAGAAAUGAGAUAUAAAUGAGAUAAAAAAGGAAAGUGCUGAUAUGAAUCUGCAGAAAAGUUCUUGAGCUUGUCCCUGACUUGCCAGAUGCUCUCCUGCUCCCUCAGUUACAGUGUGUUCAUAUGAGCCACACCAUCUCAGUUCAAUUUGAAGCCCUGUGCCAGCUCCAUCUUCUAGAAACCAGCACAUCCAUGCUCCUUCUAUGCACUGCUGUCCUGACCUUCACUGGCCACUAUCUGGUGCUUCCCAGCAACACUGAAAAAUUGACUCUAUCAUACUUUGAAACUUGGAAAACAGAAUGGUAGGUAUUAUUUGUUAUGAGUUUAAAAUGCACUUUUCACGUUGAAAAGUGACUGCGAGAUGUGGUAUUUAUAAAAAUAACCAAGAGUUUGGAUGGUGAAUAUUUUCAUGAAACUACUCGGAAAUGAUCAGCACAGUAAGGAUUGCUUACUGAACAUGUUCUCUACUUGGUAAAAAUUCAUGUACUCAUUUUGCCAGUUCCUUCCACCAAAAAUUAACUUACCAAAGAAAAUACCAUGAAAUAUUAUUCCAGUGUUUCAUGUUUCUUGAAUAGGCAGAAAACAGAUCACAGUGUCCACGUUUGCUGCUUAAAAUACCUGAAUGUCUAUCAGGUUUUCUAUGAGUGUGGAGAAUAUUUUGAUAUUAAUUAAUUACAAAUGCAGCAAGUAGAAAGCAGAGCUGAAAAUCCAUUUAGGAGGUCAUUUAUUUCAACAGCACUAACGUUUACUAUUAUUGGGCCUAUCUUUCUACUGUAAUAGGAUAAGCUCUUCAUAUAUACAAACAUCACUAUUUUCACUCCAGCAAAUGGGUGGUACUUCCGUGCAACACCUAGAGUCUUGUCCCUGGUGUUCUGCAGUCACUGCCUGAAUUGUCAGGUAUCCUUAGAAGCUUCCUAAUCUCAAUGUCUCUGGGAAACUGCACCAUUCCUCACAUCCUGUGCCUUUAAAUGUUCCUCAGGUCUGUGUCUGGAUUUCGCUGGGAAGAAAAGUCAGCCUUCCCCAUUGACUUUGUGCCACUGUGGCAGCAUAACCUUCAGCACAGUUCAGCUCACUUUCUCCAGGGGAAUGCAAGAAAAAGCAACAACUGUCCACCCAGCUGGCCCCUGGCAGUGCUCAGAAUGUGCCCUUAGGUAGGGUGGAUCUGAUGCCUCUGGUCCCCCUCCUGUCCUGCUGGCUGAGAGUGAACUCUUCAAAUGAUUUUUGGAGAGAACUUCCAGGGAAAAAGGUAGAAUGAAGGAAAAAUGACAGAUUAAAUUCUCCUGGAGCUUUGUUUAGGCUUCCAGUGGUACGUCAGUGCCUUCCCACAACUCAAGAACUGCUGAGUCAACCUAUUUCCCCUGCCCAAGGGCAGGAUCAGUUAUAACUAAACUGAUGCUGACAUGAUUGUCUAGCCUGUCUUGUAGCAUCUUUGUCACUGGAGAUCUUUGCUUUCCAAAGUAACAUAUUCCAGUGCUUCACUAUUACUAUGGUAGAACAGUGCCUUUUUGUUUUGUUUUCUCCCUAGCGUCUUAUUUAUCAGUGCUCCAACUGAAGGACAUUAAUUAUUGUCCUUUUCACUUAGACAGAUUGUCUCUUUCCUCUCAGAAGCAAACUUUUCCAUUACUGAGGACUACUGACUUCAUUCCUCUUGAUUCUAGGCUUUGUUCUAUUUUUUAUUAGAAGUCAGUCUUCUACACCUCCUCUCUCUCUUGUUGCUUAUUUGAACUCCCUCUACCCUCAAGUGUGGUUUCCAAAACUGCAUAGCAUAUAAUUACCUAAUGUGUUUUAAAACAGCAUUUCUAUUUAUUCAUCUCUCAAGAUUUGGGUUUUUUUUUUGCAAUGGUGCAAAAUUAGUGACAUGUUGAUCCUACUCCUUGAAAUCCUAAGGGGUUUUUAUUGUCAUUGAUUAUUGUAUUAUGUUAAAUAAUCACUAAAGUGCUAUUCCUUAGGACUAAUAUCGAAUUAACAGUAGAGGUGUUUAACUGACAGAUACUUAAAAUUACUAUUUCUCUAAAUGUUAGGUUUAAAAAUUACUGGAAAAUGAGCUAAACAUGUACUACUUAACAAUUAUGGAUGAUGCCAGUAGAACUAGGUUUGGAGUCAUGAUGGAAACUGAAUUGGUGAUGUUAAUCAUUCCACUUCAGGGUAAAAAUCUAAUCACAGUGACACAAACAACAUAGGGAGACUUUGGACUGAAGAAAGUACAAUUCAGAAGCCCAAGCAUCAAAUAAAAUCAAAGGAUCUAGGGAAAAUAUAGUAAUAAAGGCAGCCAGCCAUCCCCAAGUAUGCAGUGAGAUUCCAGCAGGUGACAGGAUGCCAGGGUCUACAUUCUUAUCAAAAUAAGACUUAGAAGAAACUUAAGUGUUUUUAAGGCUUGCACAGUAGUAAUGAGACAUCUAACAGAAACCAUGCAUUUAGAGCUACUGUAUGUCCAGUCAGCCUCUAUAGUUGUGCUGUUUCAUGAUCUUUCCAAGUCUUACAGCACACAUAGUGAUCUCUAAUGGGUUUUAUUUAAGGUUUAAACAGAGAUCUGCUUAGAAUGAUACACUGAAAUAAAAUCACACCAAAGCUAUUAUACAGUCUAUUUUAAUGGAGUUGUUUAUAUCAGCACCAUCUUCAGCUGAAACUCAUUAACACUCUAUUAAAUAUUACAUUUUCCUACAUGGUUCCAAAAGCAUGGCAGAAAUACUAAUACCACAGUUACUGCUUCAGCUUCUUCGCAUGGAGUUAGAUCCCUGACCCAGAAGAAGGUUUAUAUGGUGCAGAGCCUUAGGUUAGGUGACUUCAACUUAGUUAAGUGCUUUUAGUUGAUGCAGUCAGCCUUCAGUAGAAACACAAGCAUUAUCACACAAGAAUGAGCUUAGUGCCAUCUCAUUAGUCUGUACUUGCAUGACUGGCUUUAGUUCAGGAGCUUGUACCCCGUAUCUCUCCUAAUUUUUGCUAUGCUAGGCAAGAAUAAACAGUUUUAACAUCA